CCUGGCUUUGCCACAGGCAUGCCUUCACAGAAGUCACUUAACUAAGUCUAGGUUCCUCAUCUGUGAACUGAGAAAACUAAAAGCACUGAUUCCAUGGGGUGCUUAGGAAGAAGUCACCCAUGACUAUCUGGAACAACAUUGUGGGGAAGGCCAAGUUUCUGGUGCGGUCUUACUAAGUUGCCCAGGCUGGUCUUGUACUCUUGGCCUCAAGCAAUCCUCCCACCUCAGCCUCCCAAAGCACUGGGAUUACACACAUGAGCUACUAGGCCCGGCCUCUUCUGUCUUUUUGUAGUGGUGACGUGUGGCAAAUGGAUUGUAAAUGAAGAUAGACUGUGUAAUGAAUGACGACACUAAAGACUAAUGUGAAGGACUUUAGGGAAAACAAAAGGCUUUCAUCUGAAAGGAUGAUCUGUGGACCAAGGUCACUCAUACCACUCACUGCUCAUUUUCUCAUGUUAUUUUAAAACUUUUUUCGGCCUUUAUACUGCUUUCAGCAGCAUUUGUGUGUAAGAAGUGGACGAUGACUUUAAUAAAGAGACCCGAAUGGAACUGAAUGGAGCAUUUGUUUUUGAAGCAACUUUUACUGUCCUCAGUUUUAUCUCAUAGAAGCCUCCCUCCAAG
rnacentral:lncRNA from 1 species